rnacentral:rRNA from 1 species
GGGGAAUUUUGGACAAUGGGGGAAACCCUGAUCCAGCCAUCCCGCGUGUAUGAUGAAGGCCUUCGGGUCGUAAAGUACUUUUGGCAGAGAAGAAAAGGCAUCCCCUAAUACGGGAUGCUGCUGACGGUAUCUGCAGAAUAAGCACCGGCUAACUACGUGCCAGCAGCCGCGGUAAUACGUAGGGUGCAAGCGUUAAUCGGAAUUACUGGGCGUAAAGCGUGUGUAGGCGGUUCGGAAAGAAAGAUGUGAAAUCCCAGGGCUCAACCUUGGAACUGCAUGUUUAACUGCCGAGCUAGAGUAUGUCAGAGGGGGGUAGAAUUCCACGUGUAGCAGUGAAAUGCGUAGAUAUGUGGAGGAAUACCGAUGGCGAAGGCAGCCCCCUGGGAUAAUACUGACGCUCAGACACGAAAGCGUGGGGAGCAAAC